UACGUAGGGUGCAAGCGUUGCCCGGAUUUAUUGGGCGUAAAGGGCGCGUAGGCGGCUCGGAACGUCCGUUGUGAAAUCGCCCGGCUCAACUGGGCGGGGUCAGCGGAUACGGCCGAGCUUGAGCAAGCUAGGGGGCAAUGGAAUUCCCGGUGUAGUGGUGGAAUGCGUAGAUAUCGGGAGGAACACCAGUGGCGAAGGCGACUACCUGGCCUGUUCUUGACGCUGAGGCGCGAAAGCUAGGGGAGCAAACGGG
rnacentral:rRNA from 1 species